rnacentral:lncRNA from 1 species
AAAUAAACACAAACAAAUAUGUUUAGUUGUGUACAAACGAAUAAAAUUGCAUUUGUUACAGAUUGGAUUUUCCGGUACACAGAUGGUCUACAACAGAAUAUUAUGUUAAACUUUGAAAUAAAAAAAAACUAAUGUAACACCCUGAAACAAAUCAAGACUUGUUAAAAUCAGAAAAGCAUAGCACGAAUCUCAAAGCAGCAUUGGCCCUGUGCAUGGUAACAUUCCUCGGUCAAAUGUAUCUCAAGAUCCUACACGGACUAUAGAAUAGUAGAAUUCAUGCAGAAUAGUUACUAGAGUACAAAUCUGCAAUAUGCCUGCAAACAUCCGGCUGCGAAGAUACCAUGAGAUCCGUCGAGGCCAUAUUUACCACCGACGAUUAGACCUUUUUAUCCUGGGUGAAGGACUAAAGUUUCGGAACAAAAGGGCCGACGAAACCAACAAGACAAACAUCCAGGUUCAGUUUUAAAAAGAAGGCCGACGAAACAACAAAGCACAAAAGCAAAAGCGCAAACCGGCAUCCACGCAUAUACUUACCCUAACAAAAGCUAGAAGGAUAGCAACAACCAGAAAGGUUAGUACCGACAGGUUACAGAACAGUUUGUAACUACAACGCUGCUAUUACUCAGAUCAUUGACAGCCUUGGAAGAACAUCACCUCAUGGUUUAACCAACUCCAGUACGCCUCAUCGUCGGGCCCCAGCCUUCGGGUUUGCUGAUCUCAGACGUUGCGCUGCCGCUACCGCCUGCCUCGUUUCUGCAUGCCACACCAAUACAACGAAUGAGUUAUCCAUGUCUGUUGGAUCAUGCGAGUAAACAUGAUCAAAAGAUGUUGCGUUCCUACUCUUCCUUAUAUGGAGAACAGAUUACAGCACAAAGCCCACAGCUACCAAAUUUCUAUCUUUACCAUGAAAACAAAGGAUCCAGCCACUAAUCUCAAAGAAACUCAUGGGUGUACAUAGCCAAACCAGCAACACAUUUCACUAAGCCCCCCCAAAAAAGCAGACACAGCACUGGCAGGG